UGGGUUUUCCUUUACCCUGUGCGUAUUUUGUUGUUCCUGCGGUUGUUCUCGUCUUAAGAUAGGGGGCCUUCUUGUCCGCCUCCCCUCCUCUCCUCUUGCUGCUCUCGCUCCUGGGGGCUAGGGGCGGCACGGCAGAGGAGGCACAAAGGCUAGCUAGCGGGCCGAGAGGCCGAUCUUUACCGCGUUCUCUCAACCUUUCUCCGCCUCCUAUGCCCACAGGUGCGUGGACUCCGAGGCUAUUACACGUAGUUGUUGACACCGAAGAAGCCGUUGGCCUACUGGCUUUUGUACACAAGUUUCACAAUGGCUCUGUGACAGUUCCGGUUCUUCUACCGGGAAGAUCAGCUCUUGUUUUGACGACGACGACAACGUAGCAGUGGGUGUGGUUACCACCGUCUCUAGUUCCUACUUCGCAGACGGAGUCGGUUUCUUCCUUUUGUUCAUCGGCUCCUCCUCCGCGGCUUCGGUGGGUCGUUGGCGACGGACAGCACGGCCUUCUUCCAGCCCGACUGCCCCAAGUUCACGGCGACGCCUCUGUGGAAGACGAGCUACGUGGCGAUACGGCUGCGCGUGCUAACGUUCAAGCUGAUGUUCGUCCGGCCGUCCCUCGUCUAGCGGGUCGUCUUGGGGCAGCAGUUCCGACUGUUCCAGUGGUCUAAGACUACCUCCAAGACGACGUCCUCGGGAGGUCGAGCAAAUAAGGGAGAUACUACUACUACUACGAACCAGGCAGUCCAAAUGAAGUCUUAACACACAGGUGGUAGGAGGACCUUACAUCAUGAAACGGCUACUUGGGCGGAAGCUGUUUGUGGUGGUAGGCUACGGGCAGGUUGCCGGUAGUUGCCCGGUAGCGUGGCCCGACCGUUGCGGAAGUUCCCGACAUAUUACAACCACAAACACACCCUCCUUGUAAGUAACCGUGUCCGAACCGUCCGAAGGACCCAGUGGACAAUCACAUUUUUAGUAACAUGUAAAGCCACACAAUACACAAGUUUAGUCGUUAUGAACCACGUAAAAUAUGAUACUCAACCUCUCCCUAUGACAUCUUUUCUAGUUGAUCAUCAUCAAACGACGUGUCUAGUGACAGUCUCAUUUUAUUUAUACAACCCACAAGCAAACAACUCCCACUACGUCUCUGUUUGUCUCACAGGUACGG
rnacentral:rRNA from 1 species